CCUACGGGGCGCAGCAGUGGGGAAUAUUGCACAAUGGGGGAAACCCUGAUGCAGCGACGCCGCGUGAGUGAAGAAGUAUUUCGGUAUGUAAAGCUCUGUCAGCAGGGAAGAAAAUGACGGUACCUGACCAAGAAGCCCCGGCUAACUACGUGCCAGCAGCCGCGGUAAUACGUAUGGUGCAAGCGUUAUCCGGAUUUACUGGGUGUAAAGGGAGCGUAGGCGGCGCGUUAAGUCUGAUGUGAAAACCCGAGGCUCAACCACGGGAGUGCAUUGGAAACUGGCGGGCUGGAGUGCCGGAGAGGUAA
rnacentral:rRNA from 1 species